UACGUAGGGUGCGAGCGUUGUCCGGAAUUAUUGGGCGUACAGGGCUCGUAGGCGGUUUGUCGCGUCUGCCGUGAAAGUCCGGGGCUCAACUCCGGAUCUGCGGUGGGUACGGGCAGACUAGAGUGAUGUAGGGGAGACUGGAAUUCCUGGUGUAGCGGUGAAAUGCGCAGAUAUCAGGAGGAACACCGAUGGCGAAGGCAGGUCUCUGGGCAUUAACUGACGCUGAGGAGCGAAAGCAUGGGGAGCGAACAGG
rnacentral:rRNA from 1 species